rnacentral:lncRNA from 1 species
UGCUGGGAUUACAGGUAUUAGCCUCUGCACCUGGCCAUGAUGGAGUUUUUACCUAAGUCAGCCGCACCAUUGGUCCAGUGGAAACUUAAACCUCUCCUAACAUAGUUCCCCAAGUUCCAGAGCAUCAGUUGGAAAAGAUGUUCUUAGCACGUGAUAGAAUCCCCACACUGGCUUGCUCACCUGUGAAGUAAAGCCUGUUAAGAAAGGAACGGAUUCAUUGAGUCUUCUAUAGUUGAUAGAAAGAAAAAAAAAAAAAAAAGAAAGCAAUGGAGAUGAGGAAGCUCCUGGAGCUCUUCCACAUCAAAACAAUAAAUGGAUCUGGUACUGUAUCUCUAGGGGAAUUGCAGGGAUUAAAAGACUUCACAGAUAGUGGUGAUUGCUAUCCCAUGGCCUUUUAACUUGUCAGUCUAGCUGGUGCAGAAGAUGGGUGGGUUUGGGAGAAUAACAGUAAAUUAUCCUUAACUUCAUGAAGAGAAGAUACCCAUUGCCAUUGCUGUUACAGAAGUCAUUUCCUAUUGAAUCAAAUCAGGAUAGUGUGGGACACCUGAUAUACAGCUAUUAACAUGACAGUUUGGGUGGGGAACAGUCUAUCCUGAUAAAAAUAUCAGAAGCAGUUUGCUUCCACUUGGUAGAAAAGCAGUGUGAUUUCCAUCCCAUCUGGGGAAUAUGUCAGCUCUUGGAUCUAUGCCAUAAUUUAGUCUAUGGAGGCUUUGGUUGUCUCACUGUGGUAUAUGGUAUUUUCCAUAGAUGGCCACAUCAAUAUAUGUCCCAUCCUUCAUACUCAUGAUGUGACAUUGGCAUUCUUCCACUGAAACGUGGAGUCUAUUUUCUCUCCCCUUGAGCAUGAGUGGACCUUUGUAACUGCCUUGGUCAAUAGAAUGCAGCAACUAUGACACUGCAUGACUUCUGAGGCUAGGCUAUAAAAGGGCAGUAUGGCUUCUUCCUGCCUCUCUGGCCCAGGACUCUUG